GACUGCGUACCUUUUGUAUAAUGGGUCAGCGACUUAUAUUCUGUAGCAAGGUUAACCGAAUAGGGGAGCCGGAGGGAAACCGAGUCUUAAUUGGGCGUUAAGUUGCAGGGUAUAGACCCGAAACCCGGUGAUCUAGCCAUGGGCAGGUUGAAGGUUGGGUAACACUAACUGGAGGACCGAACCGACUAAUGUUGAAAAAUUAGCGGAUGACCUGUGGCUGGGGGUGAAAGGCCAAUCAAACCGGGAGAUAGCUGGUUCUCCCCGAAAGCUAUUUAGGUAGCGCCUCGUGAAUUCAUCUCCGGGGGUAGAGCACUGUUUCGGCUAGGGGGCCAUCCCGGCUUACCAACCCGAUGCAAACUGCGAAUACCGGAGAAUGUUAUCACGGGAGACACACGGCGGGUGCUAACGUCCGUCGUGAAGAGGGAAACAACCCAGACCGCCAGCUAAGGUCCCAAAGUCAUGGUUAAGUGGGAAACGAUGUGGGAAGGCCCAGACAGCCAGGAUGUUGGCUUAGAAGCAGCCAUCAUUUAAAGAAAGCGUAAUAGCUCACUGGUCGAGUCGGCCUGCGCGGAAGAUGUAACGGGGCUAAACCAUG
rnacentral:rRNA from 2 species